CCAAUCCCCCUCCUCCCGCCCGGAUCAUUGACAGUCAGCCAGCUUAUUCAGUCAGACGACUGAUGGAUGUUAGACGUAGAGGCCGGGGUCUUCAGUAUCUGGUAGAUUGGGAGGGAUACGGCCCAGAGGAGCGCUCCUGGGUUCCUCGUUCCCGCAUCCUAGAUGCUGGGAUGGUUAGGGAGUUUCACCAGGCUUAUCCUGGGAAACCUGGUAGAUUGCCUAGAGGCUCUCUUUAAGGGGGGGGGGGGUACUGUUAUGUUCACUACCUUUAGUCUAGAAGUUCCUUUUGUUUCCUAUGUUUCCCUGUCCUUUUCUCUUGUGUGUUUUCCCCUGGUUUGUCUAGUUUGUCAGUGUGUCGGGAGGUGUGGCCUUCCUUCUCCUCCUCCUCCUCUGGGCGGGCUCGGCUGGAGCAGCUGCCACCAAUCAACACACCUGCAAUAUAUAUACCCCGGGUUUCAUGCUACUCUUCGCCAGAUCGUUCCGUCGCCCUCAGUGGUCUGUCACCUGCCAGCUGUGGCUGCUCCCCACCUGCCUGCUCACUCCUGCACUCUGCUCAUUGGAUUAAUUUGGAACCUUUUUGGAAUAAAUAUUCUUUUUGUUCUA